AUACAGGAUGCGCAAUCCAACAUUGUUCAAAAUGAAUUUACUUCAGAACGGCGGAAUCUUGGACAGCCGAACUUGCGGUUGCGUCUCGGAGAUGGCAAAAUUGAUCCCCUUAUGUGACCUGUACGGCCUUGAAUUGCGACCUUCGAGCUAUGGAAUCGUUAUCUGUCUGCAACCGUUCUCCCAGACGAUUCAUGAGGUAGACCACUUAGUCACCACAGGCUACGCGUUUCAAGGUUUCAUCCCCCCCCCCUGAGCACCGUGCAGAACAAAGGAAACGCCCACAGCCAUACUCAUGUGCUCUUUAGGCGAACUCUGGGGGGAUUUGGGUACCAACAGCGCGUGCAACAUGCAAAAAAGCUUUCAAGGUGACGAAGUCGUGGCGGAAAAGGAACAGUACGAGCAAUGGGCAUAUGCCAGGCAAUUCCGGGGACAGAAUGCUCUUUAGCGCGUCAGAUAAGAUGACAUUAAUGUAUACGGGACCCGCUGAACGCUAUUUAUCAAUAUACUAGUGAAAAUCAACAGCCUAUGGUCUUCUUGGAAUAAAGUCUAACACCAAAGCGUGAACAGAUAUGAAAAAACAAACAACAGCUACGCGAGAACUGCAGCGUUUUUUAUGACCGAAAUCUUUCGUUGCUUAAGCACUGUAGCUCUGCCUCUUUUUUGUACAACAUCUUUUGCAUACCCAAGCGGUGAGAUGACACCAUUGGCAAAGCUCAAUUCCCGGCUCUCACUCCGCGCUCAAAAAUACAAGUGCGCGGGCCUCCGUUCACACAAACAAAACCGCAGCUGCGUAGCUCCU
rnacentral:lncRNA from 1 species